GACGAACGCUGGCGGCGUGCUUAACACAUGCAAGUCGAACGGAAAGGCCCUGCUUGCAGGGUACUCGAGUGGCGAACGGGUGAGUAACACGUGGGUGAUCUGCCCUGCACUUCGGGUUAAGCCUGGGAAACUGGGUCUAAUACCGGAUAGGAGCCAUUUUUAGUGUGAUGGUUGGAAAGUUUUUUCGGUGUAGGAUGAGCUCGCGGCCUAUCAGCUUGUUGGUGGGGUGAUGGCCUACCAAGGCGGCGACGGGUAGCCGGCCUGAGAGGGUGGACGGCCACAUUGGGACUGAGAGACGGCCCAGACCACUACGGGAGGCAGCAGUGGGGAAUAUUGCACAAUGGGCGCAAGACUGAUGCAGCGACGCCGCGUGGGGGAUGACGGCCUUCGGGUUGUAAACUCCUGUCGCUAGGGAAGAAGCUUUUUGUGACGGUACCUAGAUAAGAAGCACCGGCUAACUACGUG
rnacentral:rRNA from 1 species